rnacentral:rRNA from 1 species
GCCUGCUAGUCGCACGGGUUCAGACCCGUGGCGAAUAGCUCCGUAACACGUGGCCAAACUACCCUCUGGAGGGGGAUACUCUCGGGAAACUGAGGCUAAUCCCGCAUACCCCUGGCCGUCUGGAAUGACGCCAGGUCGAAACGCUCCGGCGCCAGAGGAUGUGGCUGCGGCCGAUUAGGUAGACGGUGGGGUAACGGCCCACCGUGCCGAUAAUCGGUACGGGUUGUGAGAGCAAGAGCCCGGAGACGGAAUCUGAGACAAGAUUCCGGGCCCUACGGGGCGCAGCAGGCGCGAAACCUUUACACUGCACGCCAGUGCGAUAAGGGGACCCCGAGUGCGAGGGCAUAUCGUCCUCGCUUUUCUGUACCGUAGGGAGGUACAGGAACAAGGGCUGGGCAAGACCGGUGCCAGCCGCCGCGGUAAUACCGGCAGCCCGAGUGAUGGCCGAUUUUAUUGGGCCUAAAGCGUCCGUAGCCGGCCGGGCAAGUCCGUCGGGAAAUCCACGCGCUCAACGCGUGGGCGUCCGGCGGAACCUGCCCGGCUUGGGACCGGAAGACCCAGCGGGUACGUCCGGGGUAGGAGUGAAAUCCCGUAAUCCCGGACGGACCGCCGAUGGCGAAAGCACGCUGGGAAGACGGAUCCGACGGUGAGGGACGAAAGCUAGGGUCUCGAACCGGAUUAGAUACCCGGGUAGUCCUAGCCGUAAACGAUGCCCGCUAGGUGUGGCUCCCGCUACGAGCGGGUGCUGUGCCGUAGGGAAGCCGCUAAGCGGGCCGCCUGGGAAGUACGUCCGCAAGGAUGAAACUUAAAGGAAUUGGCGGGGGAGCACUACAACCGGA